rnacentral:piRNA from 1 species
UUCACUUCUUUUUUGGUCAUU